UUUACAAAAAUGAAUUUAGAAUAUGCUACGCAAUUCAUUUAUAUUCCUUUCAAGAACAUGGUUCAAUCUUGUAGACUUCAGGUGUUUUUGUAUAGAUUCCUUUUGCGUUGAUUGAAAUUGAUUGAAUUGAACAUUUUAAAUGAUCGAAUUAAGUUUGGUCACUACCGGAAAUGGUAUAUUUGAAUCAAAUGGCGCCAGGAAGUGUAGGUGGCACUUCCCGGGCACUGACACCAACCGUUUAUAUACUGUCUAUGCUGCCAACACAGGCAAACUGUUUCAACAAGGACAUCGCCCAAACAAGAAGAAUGUGAAGAAGAAUGUUGAGUAUGUGUUGGCUGUGUGCAGGAUUAAUUCUACAGCAGCCAUAUGUUGUCUUCUUCACGAAAAAGAUCCUAUUUGAACAGCAUACACAAUCAAAUGCUUUAUAGUGGGCAUGGAUGAAGACGCCAUCAACGAGGCCACUGAAGAAACCAGUGUUGGGAUUUAUGUUCUUAAAGAACAUGCUUCAACUGAUGAACCAGGGGACAUUGGUAUUUUCCUUGAAGGCAUCAAUAUGUUGCAAGAUCUCUAUAAUGUAGCAUUACCUGUUGCUACGCUGUUUGGACUAAUGUACAGUAUGCCCUGAACUUCAAAUCCAAAUCCUGAUCCAAAAGAUUUGCAUGGAACUUGAUGGAGGGAAACUUACCAACAAAGCGCUUGCUCUAAAAAACAGGCUCUUCCAGUGAAAGGGCCAGAGAGACUGCGGGGUUGAGGGUUAAAAAAUGUUGUCAUUUUGAAAAACUAUUUUGAAAA